rnacentral:rRNA from 2 species
AGGUGCAAUCAUACCAGCACUAAUGCACCAGAUACCAUCAAAACUCCGAAGAUAAGCGUGCGUGGGUGAGAGUAGUACUAGGAUGGGUGACCUCNUGGGAAGUUCUCGUGUUGCACCAC